rnacentral:rRNA from 1 species
AUGGCGGCUGUGGCGGCUACGGACCCGAGCACCGCGAUUAGUAUCACCCACCAGGACGUUCCCUUCUUCUUGCCGUUGGUGUUGAGCCUGUCCACCAUGAGCUGCUCGGGCAUGAAGAGGAGCGCUGCGGGCAUGACGAUGGACAUGUUCGUGGCGACCCAGAGGCUCUCGGUCGUGGUGACGUUGAAGACGGGGAAGCUGUGGGACUCCACGUCCGCCGCCGCCGGCGCCACCAUGAUCGUCGCCGAGCAGAGCAGUACUAGAGCUAGAGCUAGAGCUGACAUGUUUGCAGCUUAUGGUGAUACGUGUACGUCUGUUGUUUGUGAUUGGGUAUUUGGGUAUUCGGGUAGAAACAUGCAAGUUGUGAGGGGUUUUAUUUUUAUAGGUUAG